AUUGAACGCUGGCGGUAUGCCUUACACAUGCAAGUCGAACGGUAACAGGUCUUCGGAUGCUGACGAGUGGCGAACGGGUGAGUAAUACAUCGGAACGUGCCCGAGAGUGGGGGAUAACGAAGCGAAAGCUUUGCUAAUACCGCAUACGAUCUCAGGAUGAAAGCAGGGGACCGCAAGGCCUUGCGCUCACGGAGCGGCCGAUGGCAGAUUAGGUGGUUGGUGGGAUAAAAGCUUACCAAGCCGACGAUCUGUAGCUGGUCUGAGAGGACGACCAGCCACACUGGGACUGAGACACGGCCCAGACUCCUACGGGAGGCAGCAGUGGGGAAUUUUGGACAAUGGGCGCAAGCCUGAUCCAGCCAUGCCGCGUGCAGGAUGAAGGCCUUCGGGUUGUAAACUGCUUUUGUACGGAACGAAAAGACUCUGGUUAAUACCUGGGGUCCAUGACGGUACCGUAAGAAUAAGCACCGGCUAACUACGUGCCAGCAGCCGCCGUAACAC
rnacentral:rRNA from 1 species